rnacentral:rRNA from 1 species
CUAUAAUUGUCAGCUAAGUGGCGCACGGGUGAGUAAUGUAUAGAUAACCUGCCCUUAAGAAAGGAAUAACAGUUGGAAACGACUGCUAAUGCCCUAUAUGCCUUUAAUACAUAAGUAUGCAAGGGAAACGCUUUAGUGCUUAAGGAUGGGUCUGUAUGGUAUCAGCUUGUUGGUGAGGUAAUGGCUCACCAAGGCUAUGACGCCUAACUGGUUUGAGAGGAUGAUCAGUCACACUGGAACUGAGACACGGUCCAGACUCCUACGGGAGGCAGCAGUGGGGAAUAUUGCACAAUGGACGAAAGUCUGAUGCAGCAACGCCGCGUGGAGGAUGACACAUUUCGGUGCGUAAACUCCUUUUAUAUAGGAAGAUAAUGACGGUACUAUAUGAAUAAGCACCGGCUAACUCCGUGCCAGCAGCCGCGGUAAUACGGAGGGUGCAAGCGUUACUCGGAAUCACUGGGCGUAAAGAGCGUGUAGGCGGGUAUAUAAGUCAGAAGUGAAAUCCAAUAGCUCAACUAUUGAACUGCUUUUGAAACUGUAUACCUAGAAUGUGGGAGAGGUAGAUGGAAUUUCUGGUGUAGGGGUAAAAUCCGUAGAGAUCAGAAGGAAUACCGAUUGCGAAGGCGAUCUACUGGAACAUUAUUGACGCUGAGACGCGAAAGCGUGGGGAGCAAACAGGAUUAGAUACCCUGGUAGUCCACGCCCUAAACGAUGUACACUAGUUGUUGUGAGGCUCGACCUUGCAGUAAUGCAGUUAACACAUUAAGUGUACCGCCUGGGGAGUACGGUCGCAAGAUUAAA